rnacentral:tRNA from 1 species
GGCGGCAUAGUUCAGUUGGUUAGAACACUCGGUUCAUACCCGGGAUGUCGUUGGUUCGAGUCCAAUUGCCGCUACCA